rnacentral:misc_RNA from 1 species
AGCAGCCGCGGUAAUUCCAGCUCCAAUAGCGUAUAUUAAAGUUGUUGCAGUUAAAAAGCUCGUAGUUGAAUUUCGGGGUUAGUAGGUUGGCCAUGCCUCUGGUAUGUACUGGUCUCACUGAUUCCUCCUUCCUGAUGAGCCGUAAUGCCAUUAAUUUGGUGUUGCGGGGAAUUUGGACUGUUACUUUGAAAAAAUUAGAGUGUUUAAAGCAAGCUAACGCUUGAAUACAUUAGCAUGGAAUAAUGAAAUAGGACGUUCGAUCCUAUUUUGUUGGUUUCUAGGAUUGACGUAAUGAUUAAUAGGGAUAGUUGGGGGCAUUAGUAUUCAAUUGUCAGAGGUGAAAUUCUUGGAUUUAUUGAAGACUAACUACUGCGAAAGCAUUUGCCAAGGAUGUUUUCAUUAAUCAAGAACGAAAGUUAGGGGAUCGAAGACGAUCAGAUACCGUCGUAGUCUUAACCAUAAACUAUGCCGACUAGGGAUCGGAUGAUGUUAAUUCUUUAAUGACUCAUUCGGCGCCUUA